CCUACGGGAGGCAGCAGUAGGGAAUAUUGGUCAAUGGGCGAGAGCCUGAACCAGCCAUGCCGCGUGAAGGAUGAAGGCCUUCUGGGUUGUAAACUUCUUUUAUACAGGAAGAAAAAGGUCAUGCGCGACCAAUUGACGGUACUGUAUGAAUAAGCACCGGCUAACUCCGUGCCAGCAGCCGCGGUAAU
rnacentral:rRNA from 1 species